rnacentral:misc_RNA from 1 species
GUAACAGAACUGAUGAUUAUCAUAUGUUGGAGUCACCUCUUGGGUUAAAUGACUUUAGUAGGAGAGGCUAGGAGUCUGCUGACCCAGGUCAUCAUUGCAAGAAGUUCAAAGCAUAUGGUACAAGAGAAUGAUAUGGUUUACAACUUGUACUAUUAAAUAACUAUCUGUGCAGCUGUAGAUAUGAUAUUGUUGUUUUACAAAAUACAAAUGACAUCACAGGAAAGGAGAGACCAGCUAUG